rnacentral:lncRNA from 1 species
CAUGGAGAGGACAAUUUUGCAAUUGUCUUCGCAGCUAUGGGUGUAAACAUGGAGACAGCUCAGUUCUUCAAGCGUGAUUUUGAAGAAAAUGGAUCAAUGGAAAGGGUUACCCUUUUCCUGAACCUGGUAACUUCUUGUGAUUUCUAUGCUUCUUACUGUAUCUUACAUGGUUGAUAGUACCAUUGUAUUAUCUCAAUGAUGAAUUUACAUUUAUUAUGCAUUCCACUCCAACAGGCCAAUGACCCGACCAUCGAGAGAAUCAUCACUCCUCGAAUUGCCCUGACAACCGCAGAGUAUUUAGCUUAUGAAUGUGGGAAGCAUGUGCUUGUUAUAUUGACAGACAUGAGUUCUUAUGCAGAUGCUCUUCGUGAGGUUAGUUUUUGUUUCAUUUGUCCCAUGAUUGUAACUUGAUUUAGUUUUCACACACCUCAAGAAGCAUGUAUGUUUUUUUUCUUUUAUUUUUGGACAACUGCACACGUAUGUUUUCUGAAGUCUACAUUGAACAUAUUUUUAUAGGUCUCUGCUGCUAGAGAAGAAGUACCUGGAAGACGUGGAUAUCCAGGUUAUAUGUACACAGAUCUUGCAACUAUUUAUGAGCGUGCAGGGCGUAUUGAAGGAAGAAAGGGU